rnacentral:rRNA from 1 species
UACGGAGGGGGCUAGCGUUGUUCGGAAUUACUGGGCGUAAAGCGCACGUAGGCGGCUUUGUAAGUUAGAGGUGAAAGCCCAGGGCUUAACCCUGGAAUUGCCUUUAAGACUGCAUCGCUAGAAUCGUGGAGAGGUGAGUGGAAUUCCGAGUGUAGAGGUGAAAUUCGUAGAUAUUCGGAAGAACACCAGUGGCGAAGGCGGCUCACUGGACUGGUAUUGACGCUGAGGUGCGAAAGCGUGGGGAGCAAACAGGG